AUACGGAGGGUGCAAGCGUUGUUCGGAAUUACUGGGCGUAAAGCGCACGUAGGCGGUAUAUCAAGUUAGGCGUGAAAGCCCUGGGCUCAACCCGGGAACUGCGCUUAUUACUGAUGAACUAGAGUCCGGGAGAGGGUAGCGGAAUUCCCAGUGUAGAGGUGAAAUUCGUAGAUAUUGGGAAGAACACCAGUUGCGAAGGCGGCUACCUGGACCGGUACUGACGCUGAGGUGCGAAAGCGUGGGGAGCAAACAGGAUUAGAAACCCGAGUAGUCC
rnacentral:rRNA from 1 species